rfam:Bacillus pseudofirmus OF4, complete genome.
GCUUCCAUAGCUCAGCAGGUAGAGCACUACCAUGGUAAGGUAGGGGUCAGCGGUUCGAAUCCGCUUGGAAGCU